AGUGACCAGCCCUGUCUAGAAGAAAGAAGCAAGGAACUGGAACAGGAAUUAUUACGUGGGCACCUAACAAACUGAAGUAUACUGGUAUAAAGGGAAGAAGUAAUAAUGUACAGCAGAUCCUGAUCCUAAAAACCCAACCAUUGCUGCCUAAAGAGAUGAGGAAUAUCCUUUUCAGAUGAUUUUCCUCUAUAAAUUUCC
rnacentral:lncRNA from 1 species